UACGGGGGGAGCAAGCGUUGUUCGGAUUUACUGGGCGUAAAGGGCGCGUAGGCGGCGUGGUAAGUCACUUGUGAAAUCUCCGGGCUUAACUCGGAACGGUCAAGUGAUACUGCUGUGCUAGAGUGCGGAAGGGGCAACUGGAAUUCUCGGUGUAGCGGUGAAAUGCGUAGAUAUCGUAAGGAAGACCAGUGGCGAAGGCGGGUCUCUGGACAGUUCCUGACGCUGAGGCACGAAGGCCAGGGGAGCAAACGGG
rnacentral:rRNA from 1 species